CGCCACUUCCCGCCCGCUGCUUCCUUGGCCGCCACUCGCGUCCUCGACCCGCCGCCUCCUGCCGUUCACCAUCACGCACGCAGCUCAACCCCGACGGCCGCUGCUCCCUUCUAUAUGGCUGCGUGGCGCCCUACUCCUUCCAGGCCUCCAGACGCGAGCGCCGUCAUGGACGUCCUCGUUUGCCCUGGCCGCUCGCGCGCCCGUCAAGUUCUGCAUCUUCCUCGUCGGACACGUCCGUCACCGGCGUGGUGCAUGCAUCCUUUGGCCUUCGGCUGGUUCAACACAACGAGCGCCGCAUCCUGGACGCCGCUCGACUCUCCUUGGAUCUGGUCGCCGGCACAACUCCGGCCGUGUGUCCGUCCAUCAACAGCGCAUGCCUGACGCCACGUCCGCCAGCCCCGCACCCUGCUGCGGCCUCCCUCGAUCUUCCUCCGAUGCGAGCCGGUGCCCCUCCGCCUGUCCGGCAAUGAAACCCGGUGCAGCGGCCAUCAGCCUCCGCCGUCUACCUCGCCGCCGGCGUUUUCUCCACCUCGUCGAGCACCACCAGGCAUCUGCUUCUUCCCGGAUAGGAUCGCGAAGUGGUGUUGUGAGAUACGACAAGUUCUUCUACAGCUUUUCACA